rnacentral:misc_RNA from 1 species
GACUGUAGUGGUGCCUCCUACAACCGUGUAUGUGGAUGGUCACCAUGGAUACCGUCACCAUGGCAUCGGUCAUAUUGACCUCGGUCACCAUGGUUUCGGGUUCGGACACCAUGGAUUCGGUGGUCACCACGGGUUUGGUGGUCACCAUGGUGGUCACCACUAAUAGUGUCUUUUCUGUUUUGAACCAAAGAUUUGUAUGUUUUUACUUCUUUUAUACAUAUGUUUGUUCGUUAUUCUACAUUGUUUUUUAAUAAAACGAUUGUACUAUA